ensembl:lncRNA
AUUUAUUUAUUUUUAUCUUUUAAAAAUUUAUUUAUGGUUCCAGAAUUGAUCCCAGGCUCUUUGUUUUUUUCUUUUCGGUACCAGGGAUCGAACUCCGGACCUUGUGCUUUUGAGGCAGGCAGCGGAACCACUGAGCUAAAUCCCCAGACCCAGCUCUCAGGCUCUUUGCACUGAGCUACAUUUCCAGUCCUGUAAAAACAUUUGUUUUCAACACAGGGUUUUGCUAAGUCACUAAAUUGCCCAGGCUUGAACUUGGGAUCUUCCUGCCUCAGCCUCCCAGAGUGCUGGAAUUACAGGCAUGUGCCACCACGUCUGCCCUGAAGUAAUACUACAGGAUUUUAUUUUAUUUUAUGUAUUUGUUGAUUUGUAGUAUGCAAGGUUGAACCCAGGCUGAGCAACACCCUCAGUCCUUUGUUCACACUUUAUUCUGAGACAGUCUCAGUGAGCUGCUAAGUUGCCCAGGUUGGGCUCAGAAUUGUGAUGUCCUCUGGCCCUUCGUCCCACAGUGCUGGGGCCACCACGUGCGCCACACACCUGGCCUAUGGGUUUGUCCCCCACCCCUUUUUCUUCUGGAUUGAUCAUCUGGGUAAACGCUUCUUAACAUCGGAUCUUUCACGAGAUGAGUUAUCUGUCCCUUGUCCCCUUACUGUUCUCUUGGUUUUCUUUCAUUUGCUUGUUGAUCUGCAAAAGCUCUUUUAGUAUCCUAGACAUUAAUCUCAUGCUGAGCAGUCACAGUCUCUGGUCUGUGAUUUGUGAUUAACUUUGUGCAUGGUAUCUUUGGCUGAACAUUAGUAUUUAAGGGAGUGAAAUCCAUCUUUUUUUUCCCUUUUACUCUGAGCUUCUAUAGAUGUUCUGCAUUGUUUUUUUCUGUUCAUUUUAUGAUUUAACAUUACUACUUCUCAGGCAUGGUGGUGCGGGCCCUGCAAUCCCAGUACUUGGGAGGCUGAGGCAGGAGGAUUGCUGCAAGUUUGAGGUCAACCUGUGCUCCGUAGUGAGUUCAAGGCCAGCCUGGACUACAUAAUGAGACCCUGUUUAAAAAAUCUCAAAAAACAAAUAAACAAAAACCAGGGCUGGAAUUUAGCUCAGUGGUGCCACCACCUGUCUCGAAAGCACAAGGUCCUGAGUUUGAUCCUCAGUACCAAAAAAAACCCUCCAAAAAACAAAACAAAACCAAAAACCACAUUGCUACUAUUCAUAGAUCUUUUUCUAUAUACAUAUCAAUGCAUAUAUGGUUUGCUUGUUUGUUAACAAAAAUAGAAUAUAACAGUCCUAUGUAUGGGCCAGGGAUUUAGCUCAGUGGCACCUAGUCUGCCUUGAAAGCUCAAGGUCCUGAGUUUGAUCCCCAGUACCAAAAAAACUCAAAGAAACAAUAAUCCUAUGUAUGGUUAGAGAGCUUUGUUUGUUCUCCACCAAAAUGUGUGAAUAGUGUGUAGUUCUCUGACUCAGAUUGCACUCAUUCUUUUUUCUGGCUGCAUAGUAUUCUCACUUAUGAACACAUCAUAAAUUAUUUAUUGAUGGAAAAUUGACAUCACAACAAAUGUUGGAUGGUUAUUCAGCAUUUUUGUUUGGGGGUGUUUUUGUUACCCGGGAUGGAAAUUAGGACCUUACUCUUGCCAGACAGGCACGGUGCCACUGAGCUAUAUCCCUGGCCCUUGUUUGUUUUGAGAUAGAGUUUGGUGGCCUUGCCCUGGCUGGUCCCAACCUGGGCUUACAUGUUCCCACUGCCUCGGCCUCCUCAGUAGCUGGGAUCACAGACCCAAACGCCACUCAGCCUUCACAGCACUGUUAGAAUGAAUUACUGUAUGCAGAGUUACUUGUUCAGAGAGCACACAUUUACUUAUCUUUGACAAGGCAGCCCUGCCUGUGGAAGAAGUGACAGGAUCUGAGUGUGGGCACCCUUUGCCCCCGGCUUUGUGACUGACUGGCUUUUCCUGAGAUGGCGUGACUGAGGCCUGUGUGGGGUUUCAAUGGGAAAUAAAUAACUGGUGAGUACAUGGGUCAGGCAGCUCCCGCACCAGUGCUAUACUUGCAGAGACUUUAGAUACUGUUAUUUACAAGAUCAUAACGCUACAUAGCACUGCAUUCAAUUCCGAGCGUGUGCUCUGCACCAUUUCCUUUUUAUUUUGGGGUCUCGAUGUGUAGUUCGGGCUGGCCCUGAAUUUAGUAUGUAGCCCAGGCUGGCCUCGAACUUGAGGCUGAGGGGGGGAGAACUGAAAGUUCAAGCCCAGGAUGGACAAUUUAGCAAGCC